rnacentral:sRNA from 1 species
CAUUAAAUUUUCCUUUAAGAUAUCGUGC